AAAACAUCUCUCCUUGAGUUGAUUGGGAGUAGUCCCUGCCUUGCGAUUAUUUUAGCGGCGGCGUUAAGUUUUGAAGUAGCGUGGCAAUUUGUCCCUUAAUUAGGGUCUGGUAUGAAUGGGUUGACGUGGAGGCACUGUCUUAAAGGAAGUGUCAGAAAUUUUCUUAUCAGUGAAAAGCCUGAUAUGGUGUUAAAAGACGAGAAGACCCCGUCGAGCUUAAUUACCUAGUUGAUAUUUCAACUGGAGAAGUUUUGUUGGGGCAACAAUGGAGAAAAUAAUCCUCCUUUUAUUUUUGCGUAGAUCCUCCUGUUGGGGAAAAAGGAAAAAGUUACCGCGGGGAUAACAGCGCAAGGCCACCUGAUAGGUCUUAUUGAAGGUGGGAUUUGUGACCUCGAUGUUGGAUUAGAAGACGCGGCUAGGUGCAGAAGCUUAGUGAGCGGGACUGUUCGUCCUUUGAAUUUCUACAUGAUCUGA
rnacentral:rRNA from 1 species